rnacentral:rRNA from 1 species
ACGAACGCUGGCGGCACGCUUAACACAUGCAAGUCGAGCGAGAGAAGAGGAGCUUGCUUUUCUGAUCUAGUGGCGGACGGGUGAGUAACACGUGAGCAAUCUGCCUUUCAGAGGGGGAUACCGAUUGGAAACGAUCGUUAAUACCGCAUAACAUAAUUGAACCGCAUGAUUUGAUUAUCAAAGAUUUAUCGCUGAAAGAUGAGCUCGCGUCUGAUUAGCUAGUUGGUAAGGUAACGGCUUACCAAGGCGACGAUCAGUAGCCGGACUGAGAGGUUGAUCGGCCACAUUGGGACUGAGACACGGCCCAGACUCCUACGGGAGGCAGCAGUGGGGAAUAUUGCACAAUGGAGGAAACUCUGAUGCAGCGAUGCCGCGUGAGGGAAGAAGGUUUUAGGAUUGUAAACCUCUGUCUUCAGGGACGAAAAAAGACGGUACCUGAGGAGGAAGCUCCGGCUAACUACGUGCCAGCAGCCGCGGUAAUACGUAGGGAGCGAGCGUUGUCCGGAAUUACUGGGUGUAAAGGGAGCGUAGGCGGGAUCGCAAGUCAGAUGUGAAAACUAUGGGCUUAACCCAUAAACUGCAUUUGAAACUGUGGUUCUUGAGUGAAGUAGAGGUAAGCGGAAUUCCUAGUGUAGCGGUGAAAUGCGUAGAUAUUAGGAGGAACAUCAGUGGCGAAGGCGGCUUACUGGGCUUUAACUGACGCUGAGGCUCGAAAGCGUGGGGAGCAAACAGGAUUAGAUACCCUGGUAGUCCACGCCGUAAACGAUGAUUACUAGGUGUGGGGGGACUGACCCCUUCCGUGCCGCAGCAAACGCAAUAAGUAAUCCACCUGGGGAGUACGACCGCAAGGUUGAAACUCAAAGGAAUUGACGGGGGCCCGCACAAGCAGUGGAGUAUGUGGAUUAAUUCGAAGCAACGCGAAGAACCUUACCAGGUCUUGACAUCGUAUGCAUAGCUCAGAGAUGAGUGAAAUCUCUUCGGAGACAUAUAGACAGGUGGUGCAUGGUUGUCGUCAGCUCGUGUCGUGAGAUGUUGGGUUAAGUCCCGCAACGAGCGCAACCCUUACUGUUAGUUGCUACGCAAGAGCACUCUAGCAGGACUGCCGUUGACAAAACGGAGGAAGGUGGGGAUGACGUCAAAUCAUCAUGCCCCUUAUGACCUGGGCCUCACACGUACUACAAUGGCUGUCAACAGAGGGAUGCAAAGCCGCGAGGUGGAGCGAACCCCUAAAAGCAGUCUUAGUUCGGAUUGUAGGCUGCAACCCGCCUACAUGAAGUCGGAAUUGCUAGUAAUCGCAGAUCAGCAUGCUGCGGUGAAUACGUUCCCGGGCCUUGUACACACCGCCCGUCACGCCAUGGGAGUCGGUAACACCCGAAGCCUGUAGUCUAACCGCAAGGAGGACGCAGUCGAAGGUGGGAUUGAUGACUGGGGUG